AGGCGUAACGAUUUGGGCACUGUCUCAACAACAGACUCGGUGAAAUUGUAAUUCCGGUGCAGAUGCCGGAUACCUGCGACAGGACGGAAAGACCCCAUGGAGCUUUACUGUAGCUUGACCUUGGGUCUUGGUACUACAUGUACAGGAUAGGUGGGAGGCUUUGAACCCAGGACGCCAGUUUUGGCGGAGACAGGCUUGGGAUACCACACUGUGAGACACUG
rnacentral:rRNA from 1 species